UUAACCAUAACUUUUUCGUUUUUUGCGACCAAUUUCGUAUUUAUUUUGAAAGAGUUCCAAAGUCACGCAAAACUAUGGAUACAUUUUUAUCUCAUGUAAAUAUGGAUAGAAGAAAUGAUUUGGAAUGGACAAUGUUCGAGUUAUUUUCCACUUAUGAGCCUAUGAUUUCAGGAAUUAAAGGACAAAGGCAAAAAUUAGACUUUUGAGUUAAAAGUUGAGACUGUAUACUUGUACGACUACAAAUAUGAAGUCCAAAUAUACAAAUUUAGUUAAUCAAGUUGAAAAGAGAUUAGAAUAAAUUCAAAGUGAUUAAUCAUUUGUUGUUCUUUGGAAAUCUUAGAUUAUCGGUUAUUCUUUCCCGCUUCGGUUUUCCGGUUUUGUUUAUUAAUAGAAAAUUUCCUCUAUUUUUUUAAUUGCUUCUCUUUUGUUUUCUAUUCGAUUUGUUUUCAUUUUAAUUGUGUUUCUUUUUUAAUUCUUUUUUAUUUCCUAUUCUCAUUUAUUAGGUUAUAGAGAUUGUGCGUAUUCAAUUUGGAAUAUCAUUGUUUUAGUAUUUGUUUUAUGGUGAAAAGCUCAAGAUUCUAAUGUUGGUGUUUACUUAUUCAGGCCUGAAGAUCCAUUUUUUCAUGAUCAUUUCCUUAGUUGAUUUUAUUUCUCUUCUGUUUUUAAAAAAGAAACAAGGUUGAAGUUGAUCAAUUGAAAUGGUAAGUUCAGUCACGAUUACCAUGAUUCACCAUGUAUCAUGACUUGAAAUAAUCUCACGAUUUGGUAUGGAUACUAUUCAGUUUUAAAAAUAAAAAGGAGGGAAAAGAUGAUGAUGAUGAUGAUGGUUGUUGCUAUUACUUUACAGGUAACAACAUGAUGGUGGUGGUGGUGAAGGAGAAAAAAAAAUUAACCAGUAAAUCAAGUUGAUUUUCAUAACUCUAUCUACAUAUCACCUUACCUUUACAUCCGAUUAAUAGGAAACUCAUUUCAUGUUAAUUGUUACUCUUAAUUUACAUGAGAAAUUUGAUUCCAGACUAUCAACUUAAGGUCGAUUGGAGGAUUGAAUGUAAAUCGGUUUUAUGGUUUCCAUUGUAACCCGAGUCAAUUUCAUCUCUCAAGUAAUUGAGAGUAUUGGUAUUACAAUGCUACUUGUAAAUGGAUCAAAUUAGCUUCCACCCUUCGAACAAUUUAACCACAAUUAGGAAUUGAAAGUCAAAGAGAAGAACCAAUUUAAAUGUGUAAUCAAAGGAUGGGAGAUGAAAAUGUUAAUCAAAAUCAACGAUGAUUGUUAAUUUUGUCACAAAAAAACCAAGUAAUCAACAUAACUGUGAUCAUCGUGUUUGACAUUAUUAAAUAUUAAUUGGUGAAAAGCUUUC